rnacentral:rRNA from 1 species
GAUGAACGCUAGCGGCAGGCUUAAUACAUGCAAGUCGAGGGGCAGCAGGUUUGUAGCAAUACAGAUGCUGGCGACCGGCAAACGGGUGCGGAACACGUACACAACCUUCCUUUAAGUGGGGAAUAGCCCAGAGAAAUUUGGAUUAAUACCCCGUAAUAUUAUGAUGUGGCAUCACAUUAUAAUUAUAGCUCCGGCGCUUAAUGAUGGGUGUGCGGCNGAUUAGGUAGUUGGCGGGGUAACGGCCCACCAAGCCUGCGAUCAGUAACUGGUGUGAGAGCACGACCAGUCACACGGGCACUGAGACACGGCCCGACUCCUACGGGAGGCAGCAGUAAGGAAUAUUGGGCAAUGGAGGCAACUCUGACCCAGCCA